rnacentral:rRNA from 1 species
GAUGAACGCUGGCGGCGUGCCUAAUACAUGCAAGUCGAGCGAACAGACGAGGAGCUUGCUCCUCUGACGUUAGCGGCGGACGGGUGAGUAACACGUGGAUAACCUACCUAUAAGACUGGGAUAACUUCGGGAAACCGGAGCUAAUACCGGAUAAUAUAUUGAACCGCAUGGUUCAAUAGUGAAAGACGGUUUUGCUGUCACUUAUAGAUGGAUCCGCGCCGCAUUAGCUAGUUGGUAAGGUAACGGCUUACCAAGGCAACGAUGCGUAGCCGACCUGAGAGGGUGAUCGGCCACACUGGAACUGAGACAUGGUCCAGACUCCUACGGGAGGCAGCAGUAGGGAAUCUUCCCCAAUGGGCGAAAGCCUGACGGAGCAACGCCGCGUGAGUGAUGAAGGUCUUCGGAUCGUAAAACUCUGUUAUUAGGGAAGAACAAAUGUGUAAGUAACUAUGCACGUCUUGACGGUACCUAAUCAGAAAGCCACGGCUAACUACGUG